rnacentral:rRNA from 1 species
GUUAAGCGACUAAGCGUACACGGUGGAUGCCCUGGCAGUCAGAGGCGAUGAAGGACGUGCUAAUCUGCGAUAAGCGUCGGUAAGGUGAUAUGAACCGUUAUAACCGGCGAUUUCCGAAUGGGGAAACCCAGUGUGUUUCGACACACUAUCAUUAACUGAAUCCAUAGGUUAAUGAGGCGAACCGGGGGAACUGAAACAUCUAAGUACCCCGAGGAAAAGAAAUCAACCGAGAUUCCCCCAGUAGCGGCGAGCGAACGGGGAGCAGCCCAGAGCCUGAAUCAGUAUGUGUGUUAGUGGAAGCGUCUGGAAAGGCGCGCGAUACAGGGUGACAGCCCCGUACACAAAAAUGCACAUGCUGUGAGCUCGAUGAGUAGGGCGGGACACGUGGUAUCCUGUCUGAAUAUGGGGGGACCAUCCUCCAAGGCUAAAUACUCCUGACUGACCGAUAGUGAACCAGUACCGUGAGGGAAAGGCGAAAAGAACCCCGGCGAGGGGAGUGAAAAAGAACCUGAAACCGUGUACGUACAAGCAGUGGGAGCACGCUUAGGCGUGUGACUGCGUACCUUUUGUAUAAUGGGUCAGCGACUUAUAUUCUGUAGCAAGGUUAACCGAAUAGGGGAGCCGAAGGGAAACCGAGUCUUAACUGGGCGUUAAGUUGCAGGGUAUAGACCCGAAACCCGGUGAUCUAGCCAUGGGCAGGUUGAAGGUUGGGUAACACUAACUGGAGGACCGAACCGACUAAUGUUGAAAAAUUAGCGGAUGACUUGUGGCUGGGGGUGAAAGGCCAAUCAAACCGGGAGAUAGCUGGUUCUCCCCGAAAGCUAUUUAGGUAGCGCCUCGUGAAUUCAUCUCCGGGGGUAGAGCACUGUUUCGGCAAGGGGGUCAUCCCGACUUACCAACCCGAUGCAAACUGCGAAUACCGGAGAAUGUUAUCACGGGAGACACACGGCGGGUGCUAACGUCCGUCGUGAAGAGGGAAACAACCCAGACCGCCAGCUAAGGUCCCAAAGUCAUGGUUAAGUGGGAAACGAUGUGGGAAGGCCCAGACAGCCAGGAUGUUGGCUUAGAAGCAGCCAUCAUUUAAAGAAAGCGUAAUAGCUCACUGGUCGAGUCGGCCUGCGCGGAAGAUGUAACGGGGCUAAACCAUGCAC